UACAGAGGGUGCGAGCGUUAAUCGGAGUUACUGGGCGUAAAGGGCGCGUAGGCGGUCAUUUAAGAUUGGUGUGAAAUCCCUGGGCUUAACCUAGGAACUGCAUUGAUUACUGGAUGGCUAGAGUAUUGUAGAGGGCAGUGGAAUUUCCGGUGUAGCGGUGAAAUGCGUAGAGAUCGGAAGGAACACCAGUGGCGAAGGCGGCUGCCUGGACAAAGACUGACGCUCAGGUGCGAAAGCGUGGGGAGCAAACAGG
rnacentral:rRNA from 1 species